rnacentral:tRNA from 1 species
UGAGGAGCGCAUCCGCGAGGGGGUGCGGCGGCUGGCGGUCGCCUUGGGCUGAAAGGCGCUCGAGGGUGGUUCAGGCCAUCUUCUUCAA